rnacentral:rRNA from 1 species
GUGAUAACGUCCUGUCGCGAGAGGGGAACAACCCAGACCACCAGCUAAGGCCCCCAAAUCCGGGCUAAGUUGAUCAAAGAAAGUUGAGUUGCUCAGACAACUAGGAGGUUGGCUUAGAAGCAGCCAUUCCUUUAAAGAGUGCGUAAUAGCUCACUAGUCAAGCGACUCGGCGUCGAUAAUAAGCGGGCAUAAGUCCGGUGCCGAAGCUGUGGGAUUGAAAAAUCGGUAGGGGAGCAUUCCAGUGGCGUCGAAGGGGUACCCGUGAGGGACCUUGGAGCGACUGGAAGCGAAACUGUAGGCAUGAGUAACGAUAAGAAGGGUGAAAAACCCUUCCACCGCAAACCCAAGGGUUCCUGAUCAACGCUAAUCGGAUCAGGGUUAGUCGAGACCUAAGGUGUACCCGGUAAGGCCGGGGAAGCCGAUGGCAAAGCGGUUAAAUAUUCCGCUACCUGGGUGAACGUUAGGCUAAGGCGUGACGCAGAAGUGAAACUCCCGCGCCCCGACGAAUGGGCGUUAAAGGGCGUAGGCUGGGAGGUAGGCAAAUCCGCCUCCCGCAAGGCUGAACCCCGACAGUACCCGGAACCGCAAGGCGAAGGGAUAGUGGAGGUAAUCAUGCUGCCAAGAAAAGCGUCGUAGUUUGUUCAACCAGCUCGUACCCCAAACCGACACAGGUGGGUGAGGAGAGUAUCCUCAGGUGCUCGAGUAAUUCAUGGCUAAGGAACUAGGCAAAUUAGAUCCGUAACUUCGGGAGAAGGAUCCCCACGCCUCGGCGUGGGCGCAGUGAAAAGGCCCAAGCGACUGUUUACCAAAAACACAUGUCUCUGCAAAGCCGCAAGGCGACGUAUAGGGACUGACACCUGCCCGGUGCCGGAAGGUUAAGAGGAGAGGUGAGAGCUUUGAAUCGAAGCCCCGGUAAACGGCGGCCGUAACGAUAACGGUCCUAAGGUAGCGAAAUUCCUUGUCGGGU